GCAUCGAUGGGUUACUGGUAACCUGGGUCGUUGCCACACCCCUAUGUACCGAUUGGCAUUCGACCCGCUGGGGGGUUCAAUUCCCUCUUGAUGCA